UACGUAGGGUGCAAGCGUUAAUCGGAAUUACUGGGCGUAAAGCGUGCGCAGGCGGCUUUGCAAGACAGAUGUGAAAUCCCCGGGCUCAACCUGGGAACUGCGUUUGAAACUACAAGGCUAGAGUGUAGCAGAGGGGGGGUAGAAUUCCACGUGUAGCAGUGAAAUGCGUAGAGAUCGGGAGGAACACCAGUGGCGAAGGCGGCUACCCUGGACCAGCACUGACACUGAGGCACGAAAGCGUGGGGAGCAAACAGG
rnacentral:rRNA from 1 species